rnacentral:rRNA from 1 species
UACGUAGGGUGCGAGCGUUAAUCGGAAUUACUGGGCGUAAAGCGUGCGCAGGCGGUUCGUUGUGUCGGCGGUGAAAGCCCCGGGCUUAACCUGGGAAUGGCCGCUGAAACUGGCGAACUGGAGUGUGGCAGAGGGGGGUGGAAUUCCGCGUGUAGCAGUGAAAUGCGUAGAGAUGCGGAGGAACACCGAUGGCGAAGGCAGCCCCCUGGGCUAACACUGACGCUCAGGCACGAAAGCGUGGGGAGCAAACAGG